rnacentral:rRNA from 1 species
GACGAACCGUGCGAACGUUGUUCGGAAUCACUGGGCUUAAAGGGCGCGUAGGCGGGCAGUCAAGUCAAGGGUGAAAUCCUGCGGCUCAACCGUAGAAGAGCCCCUGAUACUGGCUGUCUCGAGGGAGGUAGGGGCGUGUGGAACUUCCGGUGGAGCGGUGAAAUGCGUAGAUAUCGGAAGGAACACCAGUGGCGAAAGCGGCUUCCUGGUCCAGCACCGACGUUCAGGCACGAAAGCGUGGGGAGCAAACAGG